rnacentral:rRNA from 1 species
GAUGAACGCUGGCGGCGUGCCUAAUACAUGCAAGUCGGACGGAGCGCUUCGGCGCUCAGUGGCGAACGGGUGAGUAGCACAUGGGCAACCUGCCCUUCAGAGGGGGACAACAGCUGGAAACGGCUGCUAAUACCGCAUAAGCGCACAGCAUCGCAUGAUGCAGUGUGAAAAACUCCGGUGGUGUGAGAUGGACCCGCGUUGGAUUAGCUAGUUGGCAGGGCAGCGGCCUACCAAGGCGACGAUCCAUAGCCGGCCUGAGAGGGUGAACGGCCACAUUGGGACUGAGACACGGCCCAG